rnacentral:rRNA from 1 species
GUAGUCUCGCACAGAUGCAUAUCAAUAAGCGGAGGAAAAGAAACUAACAAGGAUUCCCCUAGUAACGGCGAGUGAAGCGGGAAGAGCUCAAAUUUGAAAUCUUAAAGGGUUUCCCUUUACGAAUUGUAGUUUAAAGAAGUGUUUUCUGUUGAGGUUUUGGUAAAAGUUCUUUGGAAUAGGACAUCAUAGAGGGUGAGAAUCCCGUAUUUGACCUUUACUUUCAACUUUGUGAUACACUUUCAAAGAGUCGGAUUGUUUGGGAGUGCAGUCCAAAAUGGGUGGUAAAUUUCAUCUAAGGCUAAAUAUUGGCGAGAGACCGGAUAGCGAACAAGUACCGUGAGGGAAAGAUGAAAAGAACUUUGAAAAGAGAGUUAAACAGUACGUGAAAUUGUCAAAAGGGAAGCGUUUGACACCAGUGUUGUUUUUCUGAAAAUCAAUUAAAGAACUGUUUAUGCUAAGCUGUUUAGACUUUAUCAGCUAACUGUUUAGUUUUGAGCUUUUCUUUAAUGCACUUUUCAGUUAACAAGUCAACAUCAAUUUCUUUUGCUGUAAAAAAGCUUGAGGAAGGUGGCUUGAGAUUCGUCUUAAGUGUUUAUAGCCUCUUGCCUAUGCAGUUGGAGAGAUUGAGGUCUGCAGCGUAGAUCCUUCGGGGCUAAAUGCAUUUGUGCUAAGUUAUAGCAUUUUAUAGACAACUUGUUGACUAUGAUUUGUCUUGUAGCUUACUCGCUUAUGUUAUUUUACCUACGCUUAGGAUGUUGAAGACUCUACAGAGAUA